rnacentral:rRNA from 1 species
UACGUAGGGUGCAAGCGUUAAUCGGAAUUACUGGGCGUAAAGCGCACGUAGGCGGCUUUGUAAGUUAGAGGUGAAAGCCCGGGGCUCAACUCCGGAAUUGCCUUUAAGACUGCAUCGCUAGAAUUGUGGAGAGGUAAGUGGAAUUCCGAGUGUAGAGGUGAAAUUCGUAGAUAUUCGGAAGAACACCAGUGGCGAAGGCGGCCCGCUGGGCAGUGGCUGACGCUGAGGCGCGACAGCGUGGGGAGCAAACAGG